rnacentral:misc_RNA from 1 species
UCUUUCCCGUGCCGCGCUUGCUACCCCGAAGGCCUCAUCAUCAUCGGGAUGGCUGAUCAAAUUUCCCCAUUGUCCAAAAUUUCACUGCGCCUUCCCGUAGAGUCUGGCCGUUCAGUCCCAGUGUGGCUGGUCGUCCGCCCAAACCAGCUACGGAUCGUCGUUCCAGGAGUUGUUAUCCCACCAACUAGUUAAUCCGAUUACACGGCCGCCGACCAGAGGAGGCCCGAAGAGUCCCCCAGCCCCGAGUAUGCGCGGCGGGCGGCAUUAGCCAUGCUGCGGGUAGCUAAUACCGCACCCUUCUAGUAGUAGGUGACUUCGGGCCUCGCCGCUUCGCUUUCGCACCAUUAGAGGAUAUCGGAUUAGCUUAGUUGGUAAAAGGUGCAACGUCCACCAGCCACAAGGCGACGAUCACGUUACAUAUAUAUGAUCUAACCAUCACACGACCUGGCGAUGACGCAAUGUAAAUCCAGAAAGAGGAGACCCAAGCACGGAGGCAGCAGUGGGAAUCUUUCGGGACAAUGGGGAACCUUCUGAUCCCGGCGUUUUUUCCCCCAUCCGAUGCGCCGCACGGAAAAGAAACGGCAUCAAUCAUCGAUGCACCCGUGCAACGAUUAUGAAACGCAGAAUGGGUAUGACUGGUUAACUACGUGCCAGCAGCCGCGGUAAUACGUAGGGUGCAAGCGUUAAUCGGAAUUACUGGGCGUAAAAGGGUGAAGGCGGUUCGGAAAGAAAGAUGUGAAAUCCCAGAGCCAACUUGAACUGCAUUUUUAACUACCGAGCUAGGAGUGUGUCAGAGGGAGGUGGAAUUCCGCGUGUAGCAGUGAAAUGCGUAGAUAUGAGAACACUGACGGCGAAGGCAGCCUCCUGGGAUAACACUGACGCUCAUGCACGAAAGCGUGGGGAGCAAACAGGAUUAGAUACCCUGGUAGUCCACGCUCCCAAACGAUGUCAACUAGCUGUUGGGGCCUUCGGGCCUUGGUAGCGCAGCUAACGCGUGAAGUUGACUGCCUGGGGAGUACGGUCGCAGGAUUAAACUCAAAGGAAUUGGACGGGGACCCGCACAAGCGGUGGAUGAUGUGGAUUAAUUCGAUGCAACGCGAAAAACCUUACCUACCCUUGACAUGUCUGGAAUCCCGAAGAGAUUUGGGAGAGUGCUCGCAAGAGAACCGGAACACAGGUGCUGCAUGGCUGUCGUCAGCUCGUGCCUGAGAUGUUGGGUUAAGUCCCAACGAGCGCAACCCUUGUCAUUAGUUGCUACGAAAGGGCACUCUAAUGAGACUGCCGCGACAAACCGGAGGAAGGUGGGGAUGACGUCGUCUCAUGGCCCUUAUGGGUAGGGCUUCACACGUCACAUCGGACAGAUAUCGCCAACCCGCGAGGGAGCCAAUCCCAGAAACCUGAUCGUAGUCCGGAUCGCAGUCUGCAACUCGACUGCGUGAAGUCGGAAUCGCUAGUAAUCGCGGAUCAGCAUGUCGCGGUGAAUACGUUCCGGUCUUGUACACACCGCCCGUCACACCAUGGGAGUGGGGUUUUACCAGAAGUAGUUAGCCUAACCGUAAGGAGGGCGAUUACCACGGUAGGAUUCAUGACUGGGGUGAAGUCGUGCAAUAAGGUAA